CUUGAGACAAGAGUGACGGGCGAUUUGUGCAUAUCCAAUUAUUCUUUCAAGUCUAAUUAUUAUUUUAAUAUUUUACUAUUAAGUUCUAUUUCUUGUUGAGUUUAGUACUUUUCCAGCAGGUUUUGCUUGUGUGUCUCACUAAGCUCUACAUUAUGAAUUUUGUAUUGAUUUGUCUUCUUGUUUUUAACUUUUUAGCAUAUCCUGAGAGUUAAUCUUUUAGACAAUGAUAUAAAAAUUUAGAAAAGUAGUACUUUUAAUCGUGGGCUAUCUAUUACGGAGCAAGACCCCCUAAUUAUUUUAGAUACCGCCAUUUUGUACAGUUUUUCUUUAUAUAAGUACUCCCAAUUGUUAGAUUAAAA
rnacentral:rRNA from 1 species